GUCACUUUGGCGGAGUGGUUAACGCGCUGCCCUGCUAUUGCUUGUCAUCUAGGGUGGGUGACGAGCCGGUCAGGCAGUUCCCUCGGGAGCGUAGGUUCGAAUCCUACAGGUGACG